CCACAGAGAUACCUCAAAAAUCGUUAAGAACAACGUGGGGAGUCAAUGUGAGUCCCGAAUAUCCGGCAACCGCACCCAGGAAGCAACCGAAAACGACGUCGAUGGCGACGAGGAUGCUCGCCAUCAAACCCCUCUCCUCUCCAGUCUCCACGCACCCAUCAUCGAUCUGGAGGUGCCAAUCGAAGGGGGCCUGACUCCGCCCAGCUCCUGGUACACCGACCCCUUCUUUCCUCGACCUCGCGCUCGAUCGCGUCUUCUACUGAGGCUGGCGGGCUGUUGCGGUUUCUGUCCGACCCAGAUCGCGACGAAGAUUCUCAUGACCCGCCGGAUUUAAGUUCUUCUGUUUCCUGACUUUUGGUAAUCUCGCUUUGACUUUCUUUUUAAUCGUUGGCCUGGAUUAAGUGUUUCCUGAGAUGUUCUAUUUUCACUGGUUCUUGAUUGUCAGGAUACACGGAUCAGGUUAAAUCGCCCCAAGACUUCUUCACUGGCAGGUGGUGAGGAGCGUCCGGGCAAACUUAUGCACUGAACGGAGCCCUUCUCAGAGCAACUAGAUCAAAGGAAUCCAGAACUUUGUUGUGAAGGCAGGCAAUUGUUACUUCUAUCUCAUUCCUCUUGUUGUGCAGCAUUUUCAAAUGAUAUAAUAGUGAGAUUUCUUGUGGCUGUAUGAUGCAGGAGUUUGGGCUCAUACCACUAAAAGUAGCUACUGGGGCCCAUUUGUUCUUCUCAAUUUUGAGAAAGAUGUUUCUCCCGAUCAGCAAGUUGAAAGUGACAUAGCAGCAAAUGAAUGGACUGGCAGCUGUGUAAAUAUUAUGGGCAAUUACUGCAUUGAUCCAUCACUAACUCAUCUUUGUAAGACGUGAAUACAUCCUUGAGUGUGACUGGAAGGUUUUCUGUGACAGUUAUUUAGAUGGUGGCUAUCAUGUACCAUAUGCACACAAGGGCCAAGCGUCUGGUCUAAAGUUUGACUCUACUCCACCAAGGUACGGACAAUGGAUGGGAGCAAAUCUUGUACUGCCCCUGGGACCAUUUGGAAAUGCCACGUAAUAUUUGACUAUUUUCUGAAAGACUCUCUCAAGG